rnacentral:sRNA from 1 species
GCCACGGAUGGCGAUGGUUCUAAUCAGAAAUGAGAUUUGCGAAAUGCAAAUCUCACAGGUAAAAAAUGAACAAGGAUGUACAUUUUUUAUCGU